CCUACGGGCGGCAGCAGUGGGGGAUAUUGCACAAUGGGGGAAACCCUGAUGCAGCGACGCCGCGUGGGUGAAGAAGUAUUUCGGUAUGUAAAGCCCUAUCAGCAGGGAAGAAAGAAGACGGUACCUGACUAAGAAGCCCCGGCUAACUACGUGCCAGCAGCCGCGGUAAUACGUAGGGGGCGAGCGUUAUCCGGAUUCACUGGGGGUAAAGGGAGCGUAGACGGCCGUGCAAGCCAGGAGUGAAAGCCCGGGGCUCAACCCCGGGACUGCUCUUGGAACUGUGCGGCUGGAGUGCGGGAGGGGCAGGCGGAAUGCCUGGUGUAGCGGUGAAAUGCGUAGAUAUCAGGAGGAACACCGGCGGCGAAGGCGGCCUGCUGGACCGCGACUGACGUUGAGGCUCGAAAGCGUGGGGAGCGAACAGGAUUAGAUACCCCAGUAGUC
rnacentral:rRNA from 1 species